rnacentral:lncRNA from 1 species
CACUUUCCUAUUUUUGAGCAUUUGGAAACGUUUUAUAAGACCAAGAGCUGCAUUUAUUUGUCGCUUGCUCUGUUCCAAGUGUUACGAUGAUUUUCCCCCCUCUUCAUACAUGAUCUCAUUGAAUUUCCUUCUCACAGUGAUCCAAUGAGGAGGAAUUCAUUAUACCCACCUUACAGAGGGAAUACCUGGACAUGGGAGGAGUGAAGUACCAAAGGUCACGGUGCUGGUAAGUGACAAAGCUGGGAUUCAAACCAGGUCAUGUCUAAUGUCAAGGUGUGGGUCCUGCAAGCAUGACUCUAGACCCCUCCCCUGGUGUGUGUGAGGAAGGCACAUGACUCCUUGGGCACUACGGGGUUGCAGAAACACACAUCCGCAAGGUGAGUGAGUGGGAUGGCAACCAAAGCCCAGACGCGAAGGAGGGAAUGCUUUUCAGGUCCGCAGCUGCAGAGACAUCGUGAUGGACUAGACCAAAGCAGAGCGUCUCAAAGAGUGUGUUUCAAGAGAGGCAUUUCAGAAGUGAGAGCCAAGAGAGGCGCCGGAAUCAUCCAGCCGUCCUCCUCGUCAAAGUUAUGGGCAAUUUGA